GUGUACUUUUUACCACUUAAACUUUCAUGGUAGAGUUUGUUUUGAAUGCUCUGUACUCUUGCUGGUUCCCAGUGUGCUUGGAGAAGGGGGGUAUGGUUGUCUGAGUAGGUUUGUUCGGGAGCUGGGUGGCAGACAGAGGGUCUGGUAGCUGAAGGAGGAUGUGGGUAGAGUCUGCCCAGACAGAUGGAGGGAAACGAUGGAGAGAUGGAGCGAUACAAGAGGACUGAGUCUGAGAGAAUGUUCUUCUCCUCCUUCUCUCUGUCCUGACAUAGCUUGUGAAUGGACCUCCAUUGUCUGUGUUAGGACUUCUUGGAUGUUGACCCUUCUCCAGAGGUCAGAAGGGGCACAGUGUAGAUGAGAGAGCGCAUAAUUGCAGCAUAAACACAAAGAGUGGCCCACUGAGAGGCCCAGACACUGGGCCAGUUUGACCCCUACAAGGCUGUACGAUAAUGUGUCACUGUGUGUGCUGUUUGUUUGAUCUAUUAUUUGUUGAAAACUUCUUAUGAUAGAAGGCAAAAGAAGUUACUGCAUUGUUUUCCGAGUAGAGGAGGGAAAGUUCUGUUCAAAAGUAGAUGGACAGACAAUUUGGCUGGUAAACAGAUAAAUGGAUAGACAUACAGUUGAAUUAGUGGCAUUUACUCCCAUGGACCCUGUAAUUGUUUGCACCGUGUUCUUUUUUGAUAAAUCGAUUGUUCAGGAUUGUUAUGCCAUCCUUUUCAGGUAAAUUUCAUGGCAAUCAGUUUUGUGGUACAUCUCCUCACACUACAAAAGUGUUUGAGACAGAUAUAGUGGCAUAUUUACAGUGACAUAUACUAUUUCAGUGUAAUCAUUGAAGGUGACAGGACAGUGCAGAGCUUCAUGUGUGUGAAGCUUGUGCUGCUUUUUUACUCAUCGUGCCUUUGGGCUUGCUCCUUGCCAAAAUACCAUUAAAUAGUUUGACAUAACCAAUAGUAUACUUUUGUGGGGUUCUGUGUAGAAGUACACAGACAGAGUAGUGAUGGUGCUAAAUUACAGUGCUGGGGUAGAGUUAGGGUGACCAUAUUCUGAAUCCCCAAAAAGAGGACACGCAGGGGCGGAGUUACGGAGUUACGGAGUUACGGAGUUGUGCGUAGUUAAUUUUGAGAGUUUUCUGGGUCGGGUUAAGUGUUUUUUAUGCGCUUCUAACUCAGCAAGUUCAUGCAACAGAAACUCAUAACUUCCAUACAAAACCCCGGACAUUUGAAAGAUUCUAUAAACUUAACAAGACAAAGCCAAUCUUUAAUAAUAAUAUAAUAAUCUUUCUCCCUCUGUUGAACAUUUCCUUGAACAUACCCUUUCACCAUUUGUUUAUUAUCAACAUUGCUGUACAGCUGUUGGUGAUAAAAAGAUGCAAGGGAAGCUACUAAAUUAAGACAAGAGAAGAGGAUGAGGUGUGUGUGUGUGUGUGUGUGUGUGUGUGUGUGUGUGUGUGUGUUUUGCAGUGGAGUUGACAUUGAGCCAUCCUUGGCAUUUCAAACUUGGGCAUUGUGCCUAUAGGUCCCAGUGGAGUUGAGGUUUUGUGUGUGUGUGUGUGUGUGUGUGUGUGUGUGUGUGUGUGUGUGUGUGUGUGUGUGUGUGUGUGUGUGUGUGUGUGUGUGUGUUGACAUCUCUGCUGUGUUUGGGUGGAUCUGCAGUCUAGUUGGCUCUCUCUGGUCAGUGUGUCAGUCAGUGUGUGUCGUGUGAGAGGGCACGCUCGUUGCAUCUGAAACCUCCGGGCUGACGGCCGGCGGGCACGGCUCAGCCACUGCUGCUCCACCUGGCUGAUUGAUACGGGCCUGUUUGAAGUCCUCUCAGGGAGAAAGAGCUCUAUUCAUGAGUUGCUGGUCCCUCCACACAGCCUGCCCCACCUCUCACUGCUGUCCCUCCACUCUGUUAACAGCUGAAAUGUUACCCUGCUCAUAGAGGUAUGAGGCUGAGGUGGACAUACAGCCACAUGAUAGACAGCCUCAAAAUGAUCAUCUGUGGAGCUCCUAGCUUUAGUGUUCAGCUCUCUUUAUUGAAACUGAGUGUAAGUCAUGUGGAGAGAAGGCCAACCCUAACUCUUGUGUCUCUGGUAUUCACCAUGUAAUGUACCUGUUGACUAUCUUACUGUCUUGAGUUAUUGAGAAGCUUUUUUUUACACCCUUUCUUCAUCUGUCAAGAUUUUGUUUACUACCAGGCCUCCUAGCACCCAUGCUAUUCAACUUUAUGUUCAGAGCACAGUGCAAACACCGGAGCAUGUGAAGAACGCUUAGCUAGUUUCAGUUUGAUUGAUUUGUAUCAUAGACUGUACAUACUAUGGACAACUUGGUUCCGCCUUCCGCCAGUAUAUGGAUUUGAAGCCAAAAAGAGCUCUGUAUUUCCACAAUUUUUCUCCAUUUCCUGAAACCAACAUUGUGCAGUAGUGCUGUACGCACUCCAGCACUUACGCAGUAGCAUUGUACGCAUUUGUUGGGAGAGUCGCUGUGAUAACGUUCAGCUCAAACUGUGUAUCCCCUGGGUGAGCUACACAAUCUUCGUACGCCCAUAGGCUGUAUCAAGUGUCAAUAAUAGAAAACAUGAACCCCCUAAUAACUUUAAAAAUGGAGCUGCACAGAAAAAAGAGGACUCCAAUACAAACCAGUCUUACAGUAACUAUAUGUCAACAUUGCGUGUAAUUAAUUUCUAAAGUUUGUCCACAACUCCAUAAGCUUUGCAGACAGAGGCAGGAUUUAUGACCUAUACUGCAGCCCGUUACCAGAAUGUGCUGUUCUUGGGGUGGCUUUACCCAGCAAGGAGGCAGACAACAUCCAUUCUAUAUUCAGUCUAUGGUUUGUAUACAUGACAGAGAGAAUCAAUCCCCAACUGCAUAAUUCAGGUUAGGUAGUCCAACUAUAAGAAGUUCCAUUAAUGUGAUUUCAGUUAGACUAACGUGUUUACAUGAUUUUAAAAAGUUCACUCAAAGGUGGACUUUUGCAGUUAACUCAUGCUUGUCUAAACUGUCAGCUGCGCCACAUUAGUAACAUUUUUAUACAAGCUAGGCUAACUGGCUGCUGGCCAUCCAACUCACUAGCCAUGUUUACAUGAGCAAAAUUUCUCGAACAAAUUAAAAAUUUGUGGGAUCAGAAAUUCUGAAUCCACUGUUUACAUGGGUGCAAAAUCAAAUAAUCCAAUCAAGACGUGCGUAUACAUGCAACAAGCUUUUUUAAGGUUAGAAGCAUUUGGACAUGCGCAGAGUUGUCUAAUUUCACCAAAACAACUGCAGAAGAAGAAUUGUAUUUACACCUGUGCUGUUAACAAACCAACAAACGCGGUAGUGGCUCACAUCAUCCGAUUCAGAAUGGACCUGAACCAGGUUCUGAGAGAGGUUGUAUUGCACCGAGCAUUCAUGAUCAUCAAGCAAGCCCAGCAGCACAUUCUGAUCCUGCGUAACAUGAGGAGACUGUAUACAGCCAAAAACUCGUGUCAGACACUGACUUAAUUGCUCUUGGAUCCCACCAUGUUUACACCUUGUCACUAACAGUGGAAAUACGUCACAAUGUCGUAGGGUACACAUGUGCAGUCAGGUUAGUUUUGCCUGAGCAGAGAGUCACGAUUAGAAUAAGUGUUUACGGUUGGCAUAAACCACCCCUCUUGAUCAGAAUGCAAUUUCUUUCCAAUUGAGCCGAAUUGUAUCAGACUUCCGAUUAACAUGUUUAGAUGAUGCAUUUUUAUUCUGAACAGGCCUUUAUUCCGAAUAUUUGUGCCCAUGUAAACGCAGCUAUUGUAAGGAAUUGAACGUAUCAAAAUAUGACGACCAAAAUCAAAUUAUCCUUUAAAAGACAACAUUGAUGAGCUGUCACUCAAGGCCUUUGACAAAAUCCCCCAAUAAUUUAAAUUGGGACGAUGUUUUAAGUGUUGUAUGCAAAUUUUGUUGCUGUGUUUUUGUGUGUUAAUGUGCAUGCACACAGUCAUGCAUGCAUUACCCUAAUGUUGUCAUCUUGUAUUGUGCACAUAUGAGUAGAGGUCCCUUGCAAUUUUCUAUCAGCAAGAUCUGAUGUUGACAGGCAGGGUCGGGAUCAGUUCCUGGCCCUCUCAGCACGUUUUGUCUGUGGGAUCCCUGGAAUGUGCAGGAAUGCGGACUCAAGCAGGUGGAGAGGUCCUCCUCAGAGACAAACACCCAAACACAACCCUGAAUCCUCAUCUCCUUCCCCCUCUUUCUCAUCUCUCUGCCUGGUCCGUUUCUUCUAGGCCUUGCCUGACAAUUUGUCUGAAGCGUGAAUGUCAGGAAACAGCUCUCAUCUCCUCUUUUUUUAUCCAUCAGACAAAACGUAUGGGAGUAGUCAUCUGGAGAGAAAAGAAUAGUUUAACAUGAGAAUGUGUACUGUCCGGAUAUUUCAGUUGAGAGUGUGGUCUCUUGUUUCCAGCACUGGUUCAUUUAACCUAGCCGAGAAAAAAGUCAGACAGGUAUUCUUCCAGGUUAAACUGGAGAAGUAACCCUCUGGAGCAGAGCUGGAUGAAUUAAAAAAAAAAACCUUUUACUGUCAGCUCCCCUCGUCCCCCUCCACCCUCUGCCCUCCUCUCUUCCCUUCACUCAGAUUCUUAUCGUCUGUUAGAUUAUUGCUUCCUGUAGAGACCUGGAGCUGCCUCUGCUCUCUGUUUUAUGGCCCUCAUGUUCUUGAAUGAAGCACAUGGCCAAAUUAUUACAAUCCACACAAUGAAGGCAACAAAGGAGCCAGUAUUAAAACAGGUGACAGUGACAUUUUAGGAUGCACCAACAGUAUAUGUUUGACAGUUUUGAAUUUUGAAUUUGACAAAUUUCUCAUUUAAUUAAUCCCUUAAUUUCAACACUUAAUGCAUUUUCAUGCUUUAUACUUUUUUCUGGUCUUUCCUUUUUAUGCAUUGUAGUUGAUUUGUCAUUUUUCUAUUUAGAGUCUGAGAUUGUGCAGAGAAACUCAAGACUUUGCAGUGUAGUAGUGUAUUGUUUACUGUUUUUGUAGUAUAAGAGACAGACCGAUUAAUCUGGACAAUUGCCGUUGGCCCUCACAAGACUGAUAUUACUGUUUCCUUUUCUAAACACAUUUUCCUCAAAUGACAGCAAAUCUAAAACAAUCACUAGCUUGUGUUUGAUAUAGAUUUUCGUCACGAUGUACAGACAGAAGCUGGUAUACGAAUCAGACAUUUUCUGGAGUCUGUAACUUAAUCCAAUAUAAAAAAUACUCAUCAAUUGAUUUAAAAUCCAUCUAAAAUAUAUUUCUAGUCAAGAUAGCAACUUUUGUUAGAUUUAAAUGUUCAUGGAUGGGUUUCUACAUGAUUUCUCUGUUUAAUUUUACCAUGUAGUUUUUAUCUUUCUGAAUAAUUUCACAAAAGGGAUACCGUUUGAUUUUCGAAAAAAGUUCAAACCAUCUUCACGACUUCCACUGAAUUCGACAAAGUGUUUAGUUUUAUAAAGUUCUUGCUUGUACCAUCUUUUCUCGCCAUCCUGCUAGCCACCAGGAAGGAAGUUGAGGUCAGUUGUGUUAAUGUUGGUACUAUAUUAUUUGGGUAAUUUACUAAUUAAUAUACCACGGUUUUCUUUUAUCUGCAGGAUUGUGACCUAAUAAGAAAAGCUGUUAAAUGUUGUGCUGCUAGACUGCUUGUCUCUCCAUGUAUUCAGCAUUUUUUGGGCUCACUUCCUUUUUUGCUUCUUUUUUUCAAUUCCAGCUGAGUUGAUAGCAUAAUAAAGAAAAAAUGAAGCUAUUUUCCAACACAGACCAGUAAUUUUAUCUUAUAUCAUGGCGCGAAGACAGCAUAAGACCCCAAAACUACUGCUCUUGGGCAUCCUUUUAACAAAUUUUUGUCUUUUCGUUUGAAUUUUUCAACACAAAGUUAAACACACUGUUCGAAUAAAAAACACAUGUCUACAUCAUCCUGUCCUUCAUCAGCCUGACAACAGUACAGUGUGCCAGCCAUCAUCCUCCUCAGUCCCAUUAGUGCAUAAUUUCUGGGGUAACCAGAGCCACCAAGACCCCCUUUGACACCCACUCCCACACCCCCUGUCCUGUAAGACUUCUGUUCCCUCUGAUUAGAUUUGUCUCUUCAAAUUGAAUCUUACUCUGAAACAAACACCCUCUUACUCACACAAGGAUACACACAAAUACUCAUAAACAUGACACUGAAACUCUUAGUUGAUUGUUUAUGCGGUGACUCUUAUUCUCAGUAAAAGCUGCUAAUAGGAGCAAAUUACUGCCAACAACUUGGAAAUAUCGAGUGCCCGACUGCUCAGCUGUAAUGGAGUUAGUGCUGACCAAUCUGAUUAUGGGCCUCAAUGGAGCAAGGAGAAGGAUGGAUGGGAUUGGGGGAGGAGGUGAAGGGGUUGGCCUCAGGGGAAUGGGGAGUGCAGGGUACCUGGCUCCUGGAAGCUAACUGUUGCUGUUUGGCUUUAAUUGCGUUUGGAAUGGACUGUGGGUUAGAGUUGCUCCUGCCAUCCAGACUGGAGCAGGAGACGUGAUCUGAUCAGUCUUUAUUUGCAAACAUGAAACAUCUGCUGUGCUCAGGGCUGCUUUUGUCUCUCUUUAAAUAUCACAACAAUUACUGCUACAAGUCUUCUGAUCACUCACCCCGUACAGCAUUGCAAAAAAAAAAAAAAAAAAAAAAAACAGCUCAGAGAAGGAUUGUGUAGGUCCCAUGAUGCCAAACUUUGCAGCAGCUUUUAAAACAAGUUACAAUGCGAGAUGCAAUCUAUUGAGGCUUUAUUGUCUUGGGAGGACACAGCGCACCCACUGUGUCCUUUAGAGGAAAAUCCUCUAAUGCAAGUGAUCAAGAGACUGAGCAAGUUGUUUGUCUUCUACAUCACCUCUGGUUAAUGUUGAUGACGAGAAGUGAGAAAAAAGGAAACUUAAGUGUGCCUAUUCCACAUCUUUUUAAAUGUACAAUAAAUAACCUCUUGUAUUUAUGUGUUAGAAAUUCUGCUCAUUAGUUGGUUGCUCCACCAUAAAAAAAAUCACAGACAAGAGACGAGCAUAUAUCUCCUCAGUAGCCACAUUUACAUGAACACAAUUUCUUGAUCUGAUUAAAAAUUUGAGAGAUAAGAUAAUCUGAAUCCACUGUUUAUAUGGGUGCAAAAUUAAAUAACUCAAUCAUGACGUGCGUAUACAUGCACCAAGCUUUAUUCAGAUUAGAAGCAUUUGGACAUGUGCAGAGUUGUCUAAUUUUGCUAAAACAACCGCAGAAGAAGAGUUGUAUUUACGCCUGUGCUGUCAACAAACCAACAAAUGCGGUAGUGGUUCACUCAAUCCCAUUCAGGAGUUUUCCCCUGCUAAAUGUUGUCAUGAGGUGGAUCCCUUGCGUACUUAUUUUACUGUUCUGUCAAUGGUUGCUCUGUGCGUGCAGAUGUGACAUCAUUUCGCUCUAUGUACACCUUGUUAUGUUACCAGAGGAGCAGACACAGCACCUACAGUUGUGUCUUAUGCCAGAGUUUUAACGAUGAAACCCUCUGGCCUCGAUAAAUAAGCCAAAGGCUAAAGAAUGCAGAUCGGAAAUGUGUCACGGUGACGUAGGGUACACAUGUGCAGUCAGGUUAGUUUUGCCUGAACAGAGAGUCACGAUCGAAUAUAUGUUUACAAGUUUCUGAAUAACGAUCGGCAUAAACCACUCCUCUUGAUCGGUAUCCAAUUUCUUUCCAGUUGAGCCGAAUUGGAUCAGAAUCCUCCAAUUGACAUGUUUACAUGAUGCAUUUUUAUUCCGACCGGUCAUUUAUUCAGAUUAUUUAUGCCCAUGUAAAUGCAGCUACUGUAGGAUCACUCUGAGAUUAGGAAUUACUUUCAUUCAAAGAGUUUAAGACUAUUCUGAGGAAAAUUUGGAGCUAAGCCUGUGAUUGGCAUCACAAGGCACCAGGAAGCGGAUAACUAAAAAAUGUCUUCAAGAAAACAUGGCAACAUAUUUUCAAAAAUACUUUAAGUAUUGGGUUUAGUGUUGUGGAUUAACUGUGCAGAACUAUACAUGUAUUUUCAUGACUCAAAUAUGUUAAAAAUCAAGUGCAAGUAAUUUUGAUCGGGUACAUGUUGAGACUUGUGAGGAAAAGAAGGUGAUUGGUCAAAUUUGCAGAAAUAAAUGGCAAGAUCCCAAAAAUGAUCCAAGGACUAGUUAAAGAUUGUGACAUCUUAGAACACUAAUAAAUGAUAUGUAAGACCUUAAAUGUGGGAUAUUGACGUUUAAUUGUAGAGGUGAGUAGCUCUCCUUUUCAGGGAGAUCCAACGUGUACAAGUCCAUUUAAUCUUUUUUACAGUCUCCUCUUUACCAGGUGAUAACAUGAAUAUUUACAGAAAUAAGCAAAACCUUGACCGGGAGAGAAAGUCCUGGUUGUUUCCUCUGUGUUACCAGAAUAGUACCAUAUUAUCUGAAGUAUUUAAGUUUUUUUACUUCUCCAGGAGGUAAAACAUUAGACUGUCAGAAGUAUCUGCUCUUGGAAAAAAAAAAAAAACUCUUCCUUUAAAGCUUAUAUAUUCCCGGCAGAAUUGGACUACUCCUGUUGCACUAAAAUGCUUGAGAUGAUUGAAAGUUUUAUUGAGGUCAAGAACAUGUGACGCUUCUUAAGGUCGGAGCAGCAGUUACGGCCUUGUUGUGUUUGUUUUUGUUCUGCUGUGUGAGAGACAUCAGGCUGACAUCGACCCUGGAGGUCAACAAGAACACAGCUCUCAGCUUGCUGGGUCGGCUUUGUUUGACGUCUGGAAAUGUUCGACUGGUAACUCAAACCAGGUCUGUUAAUCACAGCUAAUACAAGUUUGAUGCCGAUGUAUUUUUCCCCUCUAUCUUCCUCUUCAUUUAGCCUCCAUUACCUCUGCCUUGCUUCCUCAUUCCCCAUCUCCUGUCCUCCCUCCUCCUCCUCUUUUCUGUCUCCCUGUGGUACCCGCUCCCCUCAGGCAUCCCAAACCUCAUUUACACAGAAAUGUUUAGCCAGCACAGGAAGCAACCCGUGCCCUUAACAAAAUUACGGCCCAGCCAGCGAAUGAGCCGCGGGGCUGGUCUGUAGGGACCAAUCACAGAGGGGCUGGGCUCUACCACUUCCUGCAUUGUUGAACUCAAAUUGCUGACUUUUUAGUGCCCCCACCUUUUCUAUUCUAGACAACUUUGUACCCAACUGAGAGCUUACCUCCAACAUCGUGAAGCAAUAUGCUCCUAACAGCUUUUAUAUGAGCUGCUUUAAAUGAUGUUAAUGAUAAGAGCUGUAAUGAUGGUGAUGUAAAUGCACUGAGUGCUGUGUUAACAGAGACAGGGUGCUCGGCUGUGCUCUGAUCACUAUCUCUGCGGCGCCUCAGUAAUUUAGCUCUGAAGUUGGCUCUAUUAAUGGGCCUCUGCUUUUCCUUUUCCCUCUCAUAUCCUUUUAAUCUCCCUGUCCCUGGAUUCCAUUUUACAUCCUCUUGUCCUUCUCCAGCCAGUUCAGAAAAGGAUCAUACUGGUUUUAAACUUUAUAAGCACAUCACUGCUGUGGCAAAAAACAACUCAUGCCCAGAGGAUUUCUUUUAGAAGAACAGGCUGUACGUUGUUAAAGUAGUGACAACAAAGUUUAAAAAAGCAUACACUAGUGGGCUGUAUUCACUUGGGAAAUAAACUGCUGUCAUAUCUGAACUGACAAGAUAGUUUUCUUAUUAUUACCAGAAGUUUUUAUUUUAUUUUUUUUUAAUGAAUGAGAAAGUGGUACUUAAAAAUAUCAACAGUAGUUUUCAUUUAGACCAAUCAAGGAAACAAGCAUGUUCUGACAUUUUGGUUCAACCUAGUUUUACUCUGGUUUGGCUUUGAGGCAUGAUGGACGCUUGUGUCUGUAAGUAAUGUGGAGGUCAUCGUAUGAGCUGUUGUUCAAGUGCAAAGCCAAUUUUGAUCCACUAGUUCCUGAAGUGUUUUGUGAGUUAAUCUGGAAUGUAAUAUGAAUAAAGGAUGAAAUUAAAGGAUGAUAAUUAUCUAGCUAAUUCAGAGAAAAAUCUGAAGGAAGUUUUAUUUCCGAGUGAACACAAUAAGAUUCGGUCAAAACAGAAACAAUAGUCCCAAAAUGUGCCAUGGCAGAAACAGACUGGAUUUAAAAAAAAACAGAUUCAUGUGCCCUAAGUGCUGCAAAUUAAAAAUACAAUAAACCAAGAAAAGAAAUGCAAACAGAGGAAUACAGUCUUCACAGCAGGAGGGCUUUAGGAAACAAUUUUAGGCUGUUUAUACAUCACUCACCAUUUUGUAUUUGCGUUUUUUCACCUCUGCGUUGUUUGCACUUGUUUUGAAUUUGCAGCCUUUUAUCACAUCAUAGAAAUCUGUUGGGCUGCUGCAGUGUUUUUGCACUUUUCUGCCAUCACAGUUAUGUGCAUAUAAAGUAGAUACAGCAUCGUGUCGCAAUAUUUUGUCUCGUGAUAUAUCAUAUCGUCUCAUUUACCAAGUAUCAAUUUUUUCAAAAUAGUUGUUGAUAUGAAGUCAAAUCUAUGAUAAUGGAAAAAUAAAAUCGACUGGUUGUCCAGUGAGGUUGGCAGAGGUGACAUCACAGAGCAGGAGAAAGUUAGUUUAACAAAUUUAUAUAAGGUUUGCAAGAUGUGCUACAUGAAAAUAAAAUACUGUGUAAAUGAGACAAACAUAAAGGAAAGCCAGCGUAAAUUAGCUAAACAGUUGAAAAAUUGUAUAAAUCUCAAUAUAUUGUAUUGCAAAACUCACUGUAUUGUAAAAUGUUAAAAAUCGCAAUAAUAUCGUAUUGUGGCCCUAGUAUUGUGAUAAUAUCGUACUGUAGGGCCACUAGUGAUUCCCACCCCUAAUAUCAAACUCUUCAAAGACAGACUAACAACGUUAAAAAUACAUUUAGUAUUUACAAAACAGCAUGCCACAAAUUUGUGUAAAAUGAUGCAUUUUUUUCAAAUCUCUGUGUCUCUGGGUGCAUCAGGUGCAAGUCUUCAUAAUAUCGACUGAAAAACCUCAAUGGUGCCAUUUAUUGCUUUCAAUGAGUUAUCCCAAGGAUGAUUUAUUCUCCGUUUGAUUCAUGGUUAAUAUUCAAGCGUUGUCCUUGGUCUCAAAAAGGACCAAGAUGCCACUUAAACAACCACCCUCUCUGCUCCUCCCCCUUGAAUCUGUUUCAGUAUGCAUCAGGGACUCUGGAGGGGUAUAACCAUGUGAGAUAUCUCUCUCUCGCUCAUUCCAAUCAGCUCUCCCUCCAUGCCCUCCGCUCAGGUAAUUAACUUCUCCCUCCCACCUCCAUCCGCUUCACGCCCAGCCUCCCUCUGCUCCUUAUCUGCACUCCUUUCAGACUGUUAAAACUAUCAGCCUCCUUCUCCCUGUCCCCCCUUGUCUAAUUCCUCAUACUGAAGGUGAGGAAUAGGUAGAAACUAAUCCAGACCCCUCCACCACUUCCACCCACCAUCCCAUGCUCUCACCACCUGAAUCGCUUUCUGCCUUUUUUUGUCCUCUUUUUAAAAGAAAGGGUGAUUUUCACCUUCAGUUUGAAUGGAGAUUGAAGAGCCAGAGAUUGGAUUAAUCAGACAUGUUAUCCUGAUCGGUGAAAGAGAGACUUGAUCGCUGCUUGCUAUAACCUGAUUAGGAUACACCCUUACGUGCACACACACACAGACACAGACUGAGGAGGUAAGGCGAGCAAAGACAGGCUACAUCUUUGACUUUUCUACGAACUGUGAGGGAUUAAAGGAGAUUGUAAUUGCUUUUUCUCUCCUCUCUUUCAGUUCAUUUGUAUUGACAACUUGUUUCUCAUCUGUCGCAGAGCAGGAAGGUCACAGAUCUAUGAAAAGAGUCGAGCGGCCUCUUGACAAAGAUGGCACAAAUGUAGGGCUGGAGAAAAAAAAAGGUGGAAGCUUUCAUCCUUUCUCCGGCGAGGCCUCUUAUGUAAUAUUCAUGAUGCAAUUCAGGACAUCUUUAAAAGGUAACAGUGUUCAGUAAUGAAUGGAGAGUACAAAGACAGGUACAAUCUCAGACAGAUAAUCUCUGUCAUAAUUACCAUAAUGUGAUAAAAAAAAAAGAGUCCUGAUUGAAAUUAAGCAGAAAGACAUGUGUCGCUCUCAUGCCUGCCUUCAUUCUCCUCCGACUCUCAGUAUUUAUAUCCGUCUCUAAUAGCCUGUGACUCACAGUGUGUGGCACCGCUCACUGAGUUAGAGGUCAAGUGUUAAGUGUUGUGUGUGCGCUAAGGAUUCGUUCCAGAUCGCGUGUGGUUAACUGAGACGAUGUCGAGUGUGCUGUUAAAAAUUUGUUUCGGCUCACAGACUCAGCUGAACUGCAUCGUAAAAAUAGUCAGCAGUGAGUCCCCAAAACAAAAGGAUCACAUCAGUGUUUGCAGAAUUUACAGCCUGCAAGAAGGGGAUUUCUUCGACUGUAAGAGGACAGGAAGAGCUGCAGAAAGAGAUAAAUCUGUGUGUUCAGUGUGUAUUUAAAACACUUUUAGUUUUUAAGUGUUGAAUAAGAACUAAUGAAUACUUAUUACCACUCAAAAUGGUUGUUAUAAGGCCUCAUAGAUGGAUUUAUAAAGCUUUAUAAACAUGCUUAUGAUGCUUAUAUAAGGGGGUCAUAUAAAAUAUUACCAAACUAUGUUUUAAAACUCUUGUUAGGAGUUUAAAUUAGGUUAUUGAAUGGACUGUGAUUUUAUGCUGAGGUAUUUGUAUAAACUAACAAAGCAAACCAGUCCAUGAAAAACAAAACUGAAAUACUCUGUGUACAGAGAUGAACAGUGAUUUCCAAAAAUGGCACAAACCAGAACUUUGACACAAGAGCGCUAAAAAAACUAUCAAAGAGUUUUAAAGACCCACUCCAAUGAUAAUCAAGUUUUUCUUGUUUUUUUGUAUGUUCAAAUGGCAUUUUUCUGAUGCUUCAGGACAAAUCAUGAAAAAACUAAAUGCGAAAUUGUUUUUCUGAAUAUUUCUUCAUUAAAUCACUGUGAAUCUCUGGCAGACCCAAACGGCAGGUUCAGAAACAGUGAGGUUUUAUACGUAACCAAUCCAAGCUCCGCCCUCGGAGCCCCGCUAUGCAGUUGACACUCUGAUAAAAGAGAGGACAAUUGCGGAGCAAGCGUGUGCGUAAGUGGAUUGCAAUGCUCGCAAGAAAGCUGAUUAUGAUUAUAGCUUUCAUCACGUACCUUAAGACAUUGGUGUCUGAGAGCUGAAUAGCUCCUAUGUUAGCUGCCACUUCUUCGAAACUGGCAAUGUUAGGCUGCAAGCAAACGUGAAGAUGAGUGUGCAGUGCAGCGCUGUCUCUGCCCAUGACUCCGCCCAUGACUCCAAGGUGAAUU
rnacentral:lncRNA from 1 species